UCUCCGUUGGUGAACCAGCGGAGGGAUCAUUACCGAGUUUACAACUCCCAAACCCCUGUGAACAUACCUUAAUGUUGCCUCGGCGGAUCAGCCCGCGCCCCGUAAAACGGGACGGCCCGCCUGAGGACCCAAACUCUAAUGUUUCUUAUUGUAACCUCUGAGUAAAACAAACAAAUAAAUCAAAACUUUCAACAACGGAUCUCUUGGUUCUG
rnacentral:misc_RNA from 1 species